CCUCCAGAUGUUUUGGGACUACAACUCCCAUCAUCCCUGCCUAACAGGACCAGUGAUCAGGGUUGAUGGGAGUUGUAGUCCAAAAGCAUCUGGAGG